GAUGAACGCUAGCGGCAGGCCUAAUACAUGCAAGUCGAACGGUGUCUUCGGACAUAGUGGCGCACGGGUGCGUAACACGUAUGCAACCUACCUUACAUUGGGGGAUAGCCUUUCGAAAGGGAGAUUAAUACCGCAUAAGACAGUAGCUGGGCAUCCAGCAGCUGUUAAAGAUUUAUCGAUGUAAGCUGGGCAUGCGUCCAAUUAGCUAGUUGGUGAGGUAACGGCUCACCAAGGCAAUGAUUGGUAGGGGAACUGAGAGGUCAAUCCCCCACACUGGCACUGAGAUACGGGCCAGACUCCUGCGGGAGGCAGCAGUAGGGAAUAUUGGGCAAUGGACGCAAGUCUGACCCAGCCAUGCCGCGUGCAGGAUGAAGGCGUUAUGCGUUGUAAACUGCUUUUAUACAGGAAGAAACGACUCUUGCGAGAGGCAUUGACGGUACUGUAUGAAUAAGCACCGGCUAACUCCGUGACAGCCGCCGCAGUAAUAC
rnacentral:rRNA from 1 species